rnacentral:lncRNA from 1 species
GCAGACACAUGCGCAAACAAUGGCAGUGUGAUGUCAUCCAACAGGAAGAAGUUGGUAGCCUGGCUCAGACUUCACUUGACAUCAGAACGCUUACACUUGCUCCUUUCAGGUCAGGUGCAUACGGUGUUAAGUACUUUGGACAGAGUACCAAACUGGAUCUUCACACACCGCCAUGGGUCUCAGUGAGGGAAUGGAGGCAGAGGGAUGUGUUUAAAGUGAUAUGGAGCCAGGAUUGGACCCCGGCUGUACAGCUCCCUGCUGGUUCUCCUCACGCUGCUGAUAAUGUGAUACCAUCAAAAUGAAGAUCCUCUGGCUUCAGCCCUCG